rnacentral:rRNA from 1 species
UACGGAGGGUGCAAGCGUUGCUCGGAUUUAUUGGGCGUAAAGGGCUUGUAGGCGGUCUGAUAAGUCCUGUGUGAAAUCCCUUGGCUUAACCAAGGAACUGCGCCGGAUACUGUCAGACUAGAGGCCGGGAGAGGGAAGCGGAAUUCCCAGUGUAGCGGUGAAAUGCGUAGAUAUUGGGAGGAACACCGGUGGCGAAGGCGGCUUCCUGGACCGGUUCUGACGCUGCAGAGCGAAAGCUAGGGUAGCAAACAGG